rnacentral:misc_RNA from 1 species
UGGAGUUUGACAAUUUUCCAGCCAUAGUUAAAUUUUACACCAACAAUAAAUAUAGCUUCUCAUCACGCUAAAUAGAUGCUCGAUGCAUACAAUUUAUAAGUACUAAAGACCUCAUCAGUUUGAGAACAAAUGAACAGAUUCCAUCUUUUCCAGACGGGAAAAAAUAGUUGUACGAAAGCAUAAAAGAGGACAAUUUCUGUUUCAACUUCUGGUACAUAUGCAAAUGAUAUAAACUACUUGAUAUAUUGCGAAACCCACUUAAAGCCAUCACCAUAACCCAUUUUGCGUACAAUACUGCACAUAAACACCUCCAAGGGACGAACACUAGAAUCAGCUAGAUUCACCUUACCCUUGCCAGUAGUGACACCAGUCAACCCAAGGUGAUAACGCAACUCAUCUUCUGAGGCA